AAAAUAUCAUCGCGCUCUUGACCUCGAAGCUGACGGCUGAAUGCGAUUAGGAAAGAAGAUUCCUGAAGAUGCACCAGACUGAUUCUGGCAAGCCGUCUGUCGUCUGGAUAUGCACUGUUGUUCGUUAUGGUCAGCAAUCUUCUUCGUUCGUCCUUUCGUUUUCCUGACCACGAUGAUGACAAGCAGCUCUCAUGCUCAGGAUUCUGAAAGCUGGAGCAGCUCUGCUUACCUCGACCACUGAACUUACAAC